rnacentral:rRNA from 1 species
AAGGAUCAUUAAAGAAUUCUGGAUGGCCAAGGGGUUGUUGCUGGUCUUUGGACAUGUGCACAUCUUGAAGUCAUCCUUUUCUUACCACACACCUGUGCACCAUCUGUAGCGUAGGGAUGAUCGACGCAAGUCGAUCGAUCGAUCAGAUCGAAUGCCCUAUGUUACGUUUAUACACACACUAUGUCUUUAGAAUGUAAUGUAAUAUGCGUGUUAUAUCGCAGAUGAAAUACAACUUUCAGCAACGGAUCUCUUGGCUCUCGCAUCGAUGAAGAACGCAGCGAAAUGCGAUAAGUAAUGUGAAUUGCAGAAUUCAGUGAAUCAUCGAAUCUUUGAACGCACCUUGCGCUCCUUGGUAUUCCGAGGAGCAUGCCUGUUUGAGUGUCAUGAAAUUCUCAACUGCUUUGUUUUUAACAUAGUGAAGUUGGAUUUGGAGGUGUUUGCUGGCAUAUGUCAGCUCCUCUUAAAUGCAUUAAAGCUUGUUGUUAUCAUUCUUUGGACGUGAUAAUUAUCUACGUCGGAUUGGAAUGGUAGUUACGGCUUAUUUGUUCAUUUUUUGAACUUUGACCAAUCUGACCUCAAAUCAGGCAGGACUACCCGCUGAACUUAA